UUGCUUUCAUUCAAAUAUUAAUUCCACCUUAAUAUACGUUCGUGUAAAGAAUAAUUUAUAUAAAAGCAUAUAGCGAAGUAAACAAGUACAUCGCUGUCAAAACAAUAGACAGCACUUAACAGCAGGCUUGCUUUACAAAGUAUAUAAUUCACUCAACAACGUACAUGCUUGCAUGCAAAGAAAGCACUGUUUUAAAUAGUUAGUGAACGUUUAAACAUGAUUAAAAACUAUAGUAAACAUGAUUAAAAACGUCGCGAGGAAAUUUUUUUUUAAAAAGACAAAGUAAAAUUAAAAUAUCUUACCUUGGUAAACAAUCAAACAGAUACAAUGUGUGCUAUAAUUAUACUUUGACUUUGUGCUUUAGGUCUUCGCUUUCUAAGUUAGCAAAGUGUUGCCUUUUUUUGUAACGGUUCUUCGGCGUUUCGGGACGUUUUUCAACUUUUUUCAAAAUUAAAUAUUGUUUGUAUUUUGUCUUUUAAACUCCCACGCAAUCCACGCAACCCCGCGUGAAAAUCCUCCGUGUGAACCGGCCAAGAUUGGCGUUGACAAGAGGUUAUGCAUGAGUCAAUUCCUGGAGUAACCAUCCCCCCCCCGGGACACCCCCGGGAAUUUGCCCGAUAGACAGUUCACGGGGGUCGGGAAUUUGCCUUUCAUAUAUGUGCACGGGGGGCGGGUAUUGGAGGACCCCGGGGAUUUGACAAAUGGUUGCCCAGAAUCCCACCCACAAAUUUUAAGGCAGCAAAACAUAGUUUCAGGCAAGCAUGUGGGCGCGCUGAUCGUAUUUUGCGCCCUCGUGGUCAAGGUGGCGUGAAAUUUAUUGUAAGAAUAAGCGAAAAUUAUACCCUGUGCCAUGCAAAUUUAAAUACAACUAUUAAAUGUUUAUGUUUUAUAAUAUUCCAUAGCAGUUUAAUACUAUAAUGUUAUUAAAUUACUAUGAUUAUAUGCUAUUAAAAG